AUUUAGCCAUGUGACUUGCUGGAGACAGAAUACAGGCGGAAGCGGCAGCAGCCAGCUCCGGAGUCGCUGAACCUCCCCUUUCCCACCUCUUGAGCAAUUGUCCUUGGCCAUGAGAAUACCAGAUAGCGGGGAGUCCUUCAGCCGGACAAAGAAGGAGCAGACAAGGGAGACAGCUGUGUGUGACCCAAAGCUCGGAGGCCAGCCCGACCCAGCUAACCCACGGUGCUGAGAUUGAAUUUAGGGGCCUUGCACGUCUGGUCAAUCACUCCAGGACUGAUCUCCAUCCCUGUCUCUGGUUCUUGUAGUUCGCCGGUCUCACUGAGAAGCACAGGAACUGUCUACCCUGUGCUGUGAGGACAGGAACUCUUAUUGGAGCUCAUCAAAUAGUCUGCAGGGUCCCGAGUGGCCUUUCUGCCUCUGUCCUGUCCUCUCAGUGAUGGCAGCCUUGAAACUGUCUUCUGAGUUAUGGCAGCUACGCCCACAGGACUGGGUGACCCAGUGGGUCCUGGACAAUCUUCCUGUGGGUAUGCAGUCUUCGUUCUCCCAAAGCCUGGAGUCCUUGAGCAUCUCUCUUGCGGUAGAUGCCUCUGGAAGCUGCUUCUUCCACAGUGGCUGAAGGAAGUCUCCCCAGCGCCAAGCCACACUGCUCUGAAAGCCAUCCUUGAACGAAUGACCUGC
ensembl:lncRNA